rnacentral:rRNA from 1 species
GAUGAACGCUGGCGGCGUGCCUAAUACAUGCAAGUCGAGCGAACAGACGAGGAGCUUGCUCCUUUGACGUUAGCGGCGGACGGGUGAGUAACACGUGGAUAGCCUACCUAUAAGACUGGGAUAACUUCGGGAAACCGGAGCUAAUACCGGAUAACAUGUUGAACCGCAUGGUUCAACAGUGAAAGACGGUCUUGCUGUCACUUAUAGAUGGAUCCGCGCCGCAUUAGCUAGUUGGUAAGGUAACGGCUUACCAAGGCAACGAUGCGUAGCCGACCUGAGAGGGUGAUCGGCCACACUGGAACUGAGACACGGUCCAGACUCCUACGGGAGGCAGCAGUAGGGAAUCUUCCGCAAUGGGCGAAAGCCUGACGGAGCAACGCCGCGUGAGUGAAGAAGGUCUUCGGAUCGUAAAACUCUGUUAUUAGGGAAGAACAAAUGUGUAAGUAACUAUGCACGUCUUGACGGUACCUAAUCAGAAAGCCACGGCUAACUACGUG